GAAAGUUAUAAAAUUUUAGAACCGUUGGAUUUGUGACAAGUGGUAAAAUUCGGUGAAGAAAAAGGGGAAAAAGAUGCUCAACAUGAAAAAUGAGGGAGGAGGAUCUCCUCCGCCAGCUGCAGUGGUGUGUCGCCCGAGGCAGCGGUAAUGCACUGCCCAAGGUGGUAAUGCUUCAGUCGGCGCGCUGCAGACUAGCCUAUAGGCACAUAGGCCUAUUUUCGCGCGUGUAGGUGCCAGGCGCACAGGGCCUAUCUGCGUAGGCUUGCUACGCG
rnacentral:lncRNA from 1 species